rnacentral:rRNA from 1 species
GAUGAACGCUGGCGGCGUGCCUAACACAUGCAAGUCGAGCGGCAGCGAGGGGUGCUUGCACCCUGUCGGCGAGCGGCGGACGGCUGAGUAACGCGUGGGAACGUGCCCCAAAGUGAGGAAUAACUGCCCGAAAGGGUAGCUAAUACCGCAUAUUAUCUUCGGAUCAAAGGAUUUAUCCGCUUUGGGAGCGGCUCGCGUCGGAUUAGGUAGUUGGUGAGGUAAUGGCUCACCAAGCCGACGAUCCGUAGCUGGUCUGAGAGGAUGACCAGCCAGACUGGAACGGAGACACGGUCCAGACUCCUACGGGAGGCAGCAGUGAGGAAUCUUCCACAAUGGGCGAAAGCCUGAUGGAGCAACGCCGCGUGCAGGACGAAGGCCUUCGGGUUGUAAACUGCUUUUAUAAGUGAGGAAUAUGACGGUAACUUAUGAAUAAGGAGCGGCUAACUACGUGC